rnacentral:rRNA from 1 species
AGCAGCCGCGGUGAUUCCAGCUCCAAUAGCGUAUAUUAAAGUUGUUGCAGUUAAAAAGCUCGUAGUUGAAUUUCGGGAUUGACGUAAUGGUCAUGCCUUAAGGGGUAUGAACUGUUACUGUUGAUUUCUCACCUUCUGGAGAAACUUGAUGUCCUUUAUUGGGUGUCUUGCGGAUCCAGGACCUUUACCUUGAAAAAAUUAGAGUGUUUAAAGCAGGCAUUUUUGCUCGAAUACAUUAGCAUGGAAUAAUAGAAUAGGACGGCAUGGUUCUAUUUUGUUGGUUUCUAGGAUCACCGUAAUGAUUAAUAGGGAUAGUUGGGGGCAUUAGUAUUCAAUUGUCAGAGGUGAAAUUCUUGGAUUUAUUGAAGACUAACUACUGCGAAAGCAUUUGCCAAGGAUGUUUUCAUUAAUCAAGAACGAAAGUUAGGGGAUCGAAGACGAUCAGAUACCGUCGUAGUCUUAACCAUAAACUAUGCCGACUAGGAAUCAGACGAUGUUAAUUUUUAAUG